rnacentral:rRNA from 1 species
UACGGAGGGGGCAAGCGUUGUUCGGAAUUACUGGGCGUAAAGGGCGCGCAGGCGGCUGCUCAAGUCAGGCGUGAAAGGCCUGGGCUCAACCCGGGAAUUGCGCUUGAGACUGGGCUGGCUUGAGUGCGGGAGAGGAUGGUGGAAUUCCCAGUGUAGAGGUGAAAUUCGUAGAUAUUGGGAGGAACACCAGUGGCGAAGGCGGCUCGCUGGACCGGUUCUGACGCUGAGGCGCGAAAGCGUGGGGAGCAAACGGG